rnacentral:rRNA from 1 species
UACGUAGGGCGCGAGCGUUGUCCGGAAUCAUUGGGCGUAAAGAGCUCGUAGGCGGCCGGUUGCGUCUGCUGUGAAAUCCCGGGGCUUAACCCCGGGCGUGCAGUGGAUACGGGCUGGCUGGAGGCAGGCAGGGGAAGAAGGUAGGCGAAUUCCGGUUGUGAGGCGGUGAAAUGCGCAGAUAUCAGGAGGAACACCGGUGGCGAAGGCGGGUCUCUGGGCCGAUACUGACGCUGAGGAGCGAAAGCGUGGGGAUCAAACAGG